rnacentral:rRNA from 1 species
UACGUAGGUGACCAGCGUUGUCCGGAUUUACUGGGCGUAAAGAGCGCGCAGGCGGUCGUUCAAGUCGAGUGUGAAAGCCCCCGGCUCAACUGGGGAGGGUCAUUCGAUACUGAUCGACUGGAAGGCAGGAGAGGGAAGCGGAAUUCCCGGUGUAGUGGUGAAAUGCGUAGAUAUCGGGAAGAACAUCGGUGGCGAAAGCGCUCUACUGGACCGCAACUGACACUCAGGGACGAAAGCUAGGGGAGCGAAUGGG